AAACGUUUAUGCCGUCACGACAGUUUUGAGUAAAGAAUAUUGCCACCUGCGUCCAGCACUGUGGCUAUUUCCAUGUCUGAGCCGUAUAACAUUCUUGGAGGAAAGCCCAGCCUUCUGUUUAUGUGUGGGUCAAGGAGCCUCUGACAGCCUCCAUGCUGGCUGCUGCUCUGCCCCAGGACCAGAAGCAGAUGCUGGGAGAGCGUCUGUACCACCUGUUCCAGGACAUCCAGCCCAGCCAGGUUGGAAAGGUCACCGGCAUGCUGUUAGAGUUGGACAACGCUGAGAUUCUCCACCUGCUCCACCUGCAUGGCUCUGCAUGCCAAAAUAUGACCAAGACGGGGAAGCCAGACUCGUACUGGAGAGACAUCUGCCAAAAAUAUGCCCAGGGCAGCUACCAGUUUUCCACAGGCAAAAGGCCCGGUGGAAAGAGCCCUGGAGUGUAUCGAUGCUUGCCCGCUGCAGAGCAAGAGCAAGGUGGAUCUGUUCGGGAGACACCUAAAAUGCUCUUGUGGGUUCCAUAAGGUAGCUCCACCACACCAUCUCCGUGGCCCACACCAUCUCCGCGGCCCACAGCAGUUUCCAGAGUUGGACAACGCUGAGAUUCUCCACCUGCAUGGCUCUGCAUACCAAGGUGGAUGAGGCGGUGGCUGUGUACAAGAUGUACCUGGCCAAAGAGG